UACGGGGGGGGCGAGCGUUGUUCGGAAUUACUGGGCGUAAAGGGUUUGUAGGUGGUCUGCUAAGUCAGACGUGAAAUCCCUCAGCUUAACUGGGGAACUGCGUCUGAUACUGGCGGACUUGAGGACAGGAGAGGAACGCGGAAUUCCAGGUGUAGCGGUGAAAUGCGUAGAUAUCUGGAGGAACACCGGUGGCGAAGGCGGGUCUCUGGGCCGAUAUUGACGCUGAGGAGCGAAAGCGUGGGGAGCGAACAGG
rnacentral:rRNA from 1 species